AACGCGAAGAACCUUACCAGCCCUUGACAUCACGGUCGCGGUUUUCAGAGAUGAAGACCUUCAGUUCGGCUGGACCGGUGACAGGUGCUGCAUGGCUGUCGUCAGCUCGUGUCGUGAGAUGUUGGGUUAAGUCCCGCAACGAGCGCAACCCCCGUCUUUAGUUGCCAUCAUUCAGUUGGGCACUCUAAAGAGACUGCCGGUGAUAAGCCGCGAGGAAGGUGGGGAUGACGUCAAGUCCUCAUGGCCCUUACGGGCUGGGCUACACACGUGCUACAAUGGCGGUGACAAUGGGACGCGAAAGGGCAACCUCUAGCAAAUCUCAAAAAGCCGUCUCAGUUCGGAUUGGGCUCUGCAACUCGAGCCCAUGAAGUUGGAAUCGCUAGUAAUCGUGGAUCAGCACGCCACGGUGAAUACGUUCCCGGGCCUUGUACACACCGUAGAGAC
rnacentral:rRNA from 1 species